GAUGAACGCUGGCGGCGUGCCUAAUACAUGCAAGUCGAGCGAACAGAUGAGGAGCUUGCUCCUCUGACGUUAGCGGCGGACGGGUGAGUAACACGUGGAUAACCUACCUAUAAGACUGGGAUAACUUCGGGAAACCGGAGCUAAUACCGGAUAAUAUAUUGAACCGCAUGGUUCAAUAGUGAAAGACGGUUUUGCUGUCACUUAUAGAUGGAUCCGCGCCGCAUUAGCUAGUUGGUAAGGUAACGGCUUACCAAGGCAACGAUGCGUAGCCGACCCGAGAGGGUGAUCGGCCACACUGGAACUGAGACACGGUCCAGACUCCUACGGGAGGCAGCAGUAGGGAAUCUUCCGCAAAGGGCGAAAGCCUGACGGAGCAACGCCGCGUGAGUGAUGAAGGUCUUCGGAUCGUAAAACUCUGUUAUUAGGGAAGAACAAAUGUGUAAGUAACUAUGCACGUCUUGACGGUACCUAAUCAGAAAGCCACGGCUAACUACGUG
rnacentral:rRNA from 1 species